rnacentral:rRNA from 1 species
AUUGAACGCUGGCGGCAUGCUUUACACAUGCAAGUCGAACGGUAACAGGUUAAGCUGACGAGUGGCGAACGGGUGAGUAAUGCAUCGGAACGUGCCCGGUCGUGGGGGAUAACGCAGCGAAAGCUGCGCUAAUACCGCAUACGAUCUAAGGAUGAAAGCGGGGGACCGUAAGGCCUCGCGCGAUCGGAGCGGCCGAUGUCAGAUUAGGUAGUGGGUGGUGGAAAGGCUCACCAAGCCAACGAUCUGUAGCUGUUCUGAGAGGACGACCAGCCACACUGGGACUGAGACACGGCCCAGACUCCUACGGGAGGCAGCAGUGGGGAAUUUUGGACAAUGGGCGAAAGCCUGAUCCAGCAAUGCCGCGUGCAGGAAGAAGGACUUCGGGUUGUAAACUGCUUUUGUACGGAGCGAAAAGGUCUCCUCUAAUACAGGGGGCUCAUGACGGUACCGUAAGAAUAAGCACCGGCUAACUACGUGCCAGCCGCCGCCGUAA